rnacentral:rRNA from 1 species
UACGGGGGGGGCAAGCGUUGUUCGGAAUUACUGGGCGUAAAGGGCUCGUAGGCGGCCAACUAAGUCAGACGUGAAAUCCCUCGGCUUAACCGGGGAACUGCGUCUGAUACUGGAUGGCUUGAGUUCGGGAGAGGGAUGCGGAAUUCCAGGUGUAGCGGUGAAAUGCGUAGAUAUCUGGAGGAACACCGGUGGCGAAGGCGGCAUCCUGGACCGAAACUGACACUGAGGAGCGAAAGCCAGGGGAGCAAACGGG